rnacentral:rRNA from 1 species
GUCCUAUUGUUAAAAAUUUUAGGUCUGACCUGCCCAUUGAUUAAAUUUAACGGCCGCAGUAAUUUGACUGUGCUAAGGUAGCAUAAUCAUUAGUUUUUUAAUUGAAAACUGGUAUGAAAGGUUAAAUGAGAAAAUUGCUGUCUCAAUAUAAUUAUUUGAAAUUUACUUUUAAGUAAAAAGGCUUAAAUUUUAUUAAAAGACGAGAAGACCCUUUAGAGUUUUAUUGAAUUAUAGGAUUAAUUUUUUAGCAUAUAUUAUAAAUUUUUUGAUUUGAUUUGGUUGGGGUGAUUAUUAAAUUAAAAAAACUUUAAUUUUUAUUAACAAUAAUUUUUGGUUUAUUAAUUGAUCCAUAUUUUGUGAUUAUUAGAUUAAAUUACCUAAGGGAUAACAGCGUAAUUUUUUUAGAGAGUUCAAAUCGAUAAAAUAGAUUGCGACCUCGAUGUUGGAUUAAAAUAUAAAGUUGGUGUAGAAGCUAAUUUUUUUAGGUCUGUUCGACCAUUAAAAUUUUACA